AAAGUUUUGAAAAUUUGGUGACAUAUUCUUAAGAUGUUACACUAAGAUUUUAUGAAAAAAAAAUUCUCUUUUUUUUAAAUUUUACCUAUAUGUCCCCCCUUGAAGUGGUGUCCCAUGUUUCAAGCCAUGGGACGUCAGCCUUAUACGCAAUCACUGUAGGUGGAAAAAAGCUUGGGAAAAAAAAUUCAGAUGCUUGUUUGUGUAUGAACCAUUAAAUACCACAGAAAUUGGCAUAUUAUCUUGUGGGUGUAACUGAGCAUCAUGUGCAGGUGCAAGGUGAAAACGAGCCUUAGGAGGCGGCCGUUUGUUGGGAACGGUACUAAGGUAUUUAGGCCCGGGAAAAAUUGUCGGUAUUGCUCCGGAUCUGAUAGUACAUUUGCCUCUUUUUUCGUUAUAAACCUCGCCAGAUUGGAGGGUAACUUCGUAGUUUUUAAGAAUAUAUUCCGGAAGGAAAUGUAAUUCACAGACAUAGUCUGUGAGUUGGAGUUCCUUAUCUUUUCUUGGAAUUUUUCUCCGCCAUGCGAGCCAAUUUUCCUACAGAUUCAAAUAAUUAUAGAUCAGUUGGAGGAGAUGCUAUUGCACAUCGUAUGUCCAUAAAGAAAAACCUCGACUUCCAAGAUACCUUAUAUGUUUAACUGACAACUACGAUUAUCUACAGAUUAUUACGUAUACUCAUUAUUGUUGAUCAUAUCUCAAUAAAACGAUAAAACCAUCGACCAUUGCUGGGCUAAUAUCAAAAGGACCGAAGUUUCUUUCGGAAUUAUACGUAUCUUCAAUUAGGCGAAUAAACUUAUGAUUUUCACCUGUGAGACUUUAAAUAAGGAGGGGCAUUUUUUUCCUUCAUCCUGUAAACGUUGUAUCUCGCUGGCGUACCCUGUCCGCCACAGGGGCACGAAGCAUUUGUUCGGCAUCUAGUCGAUAUUUCAAUUUUAC
rnacentral:misc_RNA from 1 species